GACGAACGCUGGCGGCGUGCUUAACACAUGCAAGUCGAACGAUGACGACCGAGCUUGCUCGGUCUGAUUAGUGGCGAACGGGUGAGUAACACGUGAGCAACCUGCCCUUCACUCUGGGAUAACCUCGGGAAAUCGGGGCUAAUACCGGAUAUGAGCUCCUGUCGCAUGGCGGGUGUUGGAAAGUUUUUCGGUGAAGGAUGGGCUCGCGGCCUAUCAGUUUGUUGGUGAGGUAGUGGCUCACCAAGGCGAUGACGGGUAGCCGGCCUGAGAGGGCGACCGGCCACACUGGGACUAAGACACGGCCCAGACUCCUACGGGAGGCAGCAGUGGGGAAUAUUGCACAAUGGGCGAAAGCCUGAUGCAGCGACGCCGCGUGAGGGAUGACGGCCUUCGGGUUGUAAACCUCUUUCAGCAGGGAAGAAGCGAAAGUGACGGUACCUGCAGAAGAAGCGCCGGCUAACUACGUG
rnacentral:rRNA from 1 species